AAAUUCUAAGCAUAUGCAUUCAACUCUUGAACUAGCAUGUAGGAAUGUUAACUAAAAUUGCAUCAAAUCAUAAUAUAACAUCAAUCCAUACAAGAUUGGUUAGUGUUUUCAACCCUAACCCCAACAAAGUACUACUCACUCAUAAUUACAUAAACAAACUUCAUAAUCAAAUUAAACAUCAAAAUAGAUCUAGAGUUUAAGAGAGAGAGAGUUGGCUUAGUGGUGUGUUGAUUGAUCCCCAAGCUCACGUCUUGGUGGUACGUGGUGGUGAUGAAGGUGAUUUCCUCUCCUUCUUGCUCAUGUUGUUUGAUGACAAGAGAUGGUGAAGCUUGAUCUAUGCUUUGUGUGAAUAGGUGGAGUGGAUGGAGAAAAUGGUAUAGAUAAGAGAAUGGAGAAAUGGUGUAGUGGUGGUGGUGUUAAUGGAGGUUUGGGUAAGAGAUGGUGGUAGUGAUGGAGGAGAUAGAGUAGAUUGGGGGAGGAAGAGGAAAAAGAUGGGUUUGGAUUUUGGGAGAGGGAGAUGGAGGUUUUGUGGUGGAAAAGAGAGAAAAAGGUAGAGAGUGGUGAAUGGGUGGAUGAUGAAUGUUGUAGUGGAUAGAUGUAUGUUUAUUAUAUAGAAGAAAGAUAAGUGAAAAUGGGGGAAUGAGAAAGUCAAAACAGCCCCCUUCCCUAAUUCAACUGUAAGGGAGAAGGAAGAGUGUGAGAGUGUCCAUGAAUUGCCAAAAAAAAGAUAAAAAUGUAGGGAAAUAAUCGCAUAGGUUAGAGUAGGCAAUGAUGAUGUUUAAAGCAUGGUGAUGUCUAUUAUCCAAAGAGUAAUAGAAUGAAUUUCAUGUUGUUACUCAAUCACCAUUAAUCUCCUUGCUCCUCCUUUAUGGUGACUGGAAAAGACAUGACACCACCAAAAGAGGUGGUGAGCCGUCAUUUGUGCAGUCAAUAGUGGUGGUUCGCCGGAAUCCGAAAAUCUACGUUUUGCUUCACAUUGGACCGUCAUUUUUCCUAGCUCCGAUUCUCCAUGUUAAUGCCAAAAAUGCAUAUUUUCAUCACUCUUGCAAUAUUCCUAGAUAAAUAGAAAAUGAUUUAGUGAAAGAAAAAAUGAACUCAAAAACAAGGCAAAUUCAAUAUUUAGGGGAAUGAAAAUGUGUGUAAAUUAUGGUCUAACACAUACCCAAUGGACUAAUCGAGAUCACAUCACAGGGACCAAUUGCCACUAAUCUUUUCAAAUCUUUCAUGUACUCUCAUUUCGAUGGGAUCAAAUGGUAGCCUUAUCACAAGUAAUUGUUAUCAUGUAACAAUAAUUAAGAGACUGAAGAAAGAAUAAACCCCUCAGAAUUCAGGGCAGGACAGCAUGAAACCUUAGUCAAAAAUGGUUCCUCAACCUCAAGAAAAGAGGGAGCACCAAUAUUUUGACAUGAGUUUUCACGCAUAUCUCGCUCAGAUUCUUACUGGUUUCUUCUUCAUCAUAUUUAAAGGACUAAUCGAGAUCAAAUCACAGGGACCAAUUGCCACUAAUCUUUUCAAAUCUUUCAUGUACCCUCAUAUCUAUGGGAUCAAAUGGCAGCCUUAUCAAGUAAUUGUUACCAUGUAACAAUAAUUAAGGGAUUGAUGAAAGAAGAAACCCUCAGAAUUGGGCAGGACAACAUGAACCUUAGUCAAAAAUAGUUCCUCAACCUCAAGAAAAGAGGGAGCACCAAUAUUUUGACAUGAGAUUUCAGGCAUGUCUCGCUCAGAUUCUUACUGGUUUCUUCUUCAUCAUACCCAAGGGACUAAUCGAGAUCACAUCACACGAACCAGUUGCCACUAAUCUUUUCAAAUCUUUCAUGUACCCUCAUUUUGAUAGGAUCAAAUGGCAGUCUUAUCACAAGUAAUUGUUACCAUGUAACAAUAAUUAAAGGACUGAUGAAAGAAGCAAUUGUUACCAUGAAUGUUGUUUAGCAGUGUUUCUUGUGAUCGGAGAACCCCUCAGAAAAAUCUUAGGGGUUACUUGAAAGAAGAAAGAUAGAACUAAAAGAAGUAACCCCUUAGAAACCAUGAAAGUUAUGCAGGGUUACUUGUGAUCGAAACCGUAAAAAUCUUAGUGAUCAGAACUUCCGUUUUCUUCCCAUGACGGGCGGUCCUCUCCGGCGAGCUACUCUUUCUCCAAUGUUGGCCAUACUAAACCCUAAACGCUCAAAAAUAUAUAGAAGUAUAGCACCAAAAGAAAAAGAAAUAUAUAUUUUUUUUUUGGUCAAGAAAAGAAAAAUAUAUAUAGAGAAGUAGGGAUCAAUAUAUAUACUGUAAUAUCGAUGAGUAAAGACAAUAGAAACUCACAUCAAUUAGGGUUCUCACAUCCUAUUAUAUGAUUCUGUUAGGAUCAGAAUCCAUUUAUAAAAGGAAAACUAGGAAAUCAAAGGAAAUAAACUAAACAACAUUCAUAUCACUUAUCCAUAUCUAAUAAGAGAAGUUUACAGCCUUUAUAUAUCCUACAAAUCUAAAAUAACUACUCUAAUAACUACCCUAUUUGGACCGAAUGGGCCUUGAGUUUACUACAACAAGUCUGGGCUAGGGGUCAUCAUUUGGCCCGCGGGCCUAAAAGCCCGUGGGCAGCCCAUCGUCCGGAAUGGCCAAAGCUUGGCCGACCCAUAGAAAAGCCCAUCUCGGCCCGGCCCUUAGGGCAUAAGGCCGGGCUAGGGCGGAGGGUUCAAAACCUCGGCCCUGCCUGUUACAUGCCCAUCAAAGCCCGCCCGGCCUGACCCUAAAAAGCCCUUUCAAUUGUUUUAUAAAUAUUUUUAUGGAGUUAUUAGUUAAAUAUGUGAACUAAUUAAUGCAUUAAGUCAUAUUUUAUUUUGAUUUUUUAUUACAUUUAGUUUAAUCAUUAACAAAUCUUAACUUUUUUUUUAUAAUUUUUUUUUUAUUUGAUAAAAUUCUAUUAGAUAUAUGUAUAUAAUAGGCCGACCGGCCUGGCCUAUCUAAAAAGUCCGACUCGACCCAUCUAAAAAAGCCGGCCUGACCUGGCCUAUAAGCCUGUAAGGCCUGGACAUGCGGGUUUUGAUAAUUUUUUAAGUUAGUCCCAUCCUGGCUCGGCUCUAAUAAAAAAUAAAAUAAAUAAAUUAAAUAAAAAAAACAUAAUUGAGGCCCGACCCGAGCCCCUAGCCAGGCGGGCGUUUUUUGAUGAUCAGGCUAUGCCCAGUACAUAAAAAGGCUGUGAAAUACAUCACCUACGUACAUAUGUGAAAGAGGAAUACGAGUUAGUAUCCUAACAGAUUCAGUCACGUUCUCUUCAGUGGGAUUGAGUUGGGCAGUUCUAUCUCAAUUACAGGGAUUUUAACGUACCAAUUAUAUUUAAGGAAACAGAGAGAGUGGUUAAAAAGGGAGAAGGCCCAAGUCCAAGACCCUAGCCCAACUAGAUCCCAGCAGCCGCAAGAAUGGCCGAAAACUAAUCGGAAGAAAGUAGAAACUAAAUAUAUAGUAAUAAAUAAAUUUCCUUUCAGCAGAUGUGCCCUUAAUACUGGAGACAAAGAAAUUUACCGGCACUCUUUAUCAUUACACAAUUAACCAACUGAGAUAUAUAGCACAAAACAUGAAAACUACACGGUGGUCGACGGAUCCGAAAUCCCAUCAUGCAUGAACUUCACUAAUAGUUGAAGCUAGACUUGCUUGCUGUAGCACUCUUCUUAGUGUAGACAGACUUGGUGACCUUGAGCUGUGUUUUGUACUCGGUGGUGUAUCCCUGAGUUUUGUCGACAUACUUGUCUAUCGAGGUGUACUUGGCCUCUUGUUUGUAGCCGGACUGCCCACUGCGGUUGUCCACGAACUCUCCUUCCUUGUAACUUUUAGUGAAGUUACUUGAAGCCCCACAGUACUCGUCGUUGUACGAUGACUUCACCUGGCUUUGCAUUUCGUCGGCGUUGAUGUUUCUCGCCGGAGCAACAGUUAUGAAGCCGCAAUAAGCCUUUUUCGUCAUUCUGUAACUAUAUGAAGACGUGGGUUGUGAUCAUAUGCAAAGAGGGUCUUGUCUUUUAUAUGGUAACAAGUCGGAACAUGGAUAUUAACUAUGAUUUAUGAAGAUGUGGGAAUCAAGAACGUAUAUUGUGAGGAGAGGAGGGGUCUUUUAUCUGUUUGUUUUGAGAACAAAGGUGUAAAUGUCAUUAUCGGUUAUGGUGAAAGAGACCAUCCAACUUUCCCAGUUCUUCAGGUGAGAAAGGAGGGGAAGUUGUUUAACCAAUACUAAUACUAAUGCAUGUCAUACAAGUGUUGUUUUAAGGUUUUACAGUGCAAUGUUUUUUCGUAUACCUAUUUUCAGUUUGUCCUUUAAUGGACUCCUAAAUCUCAAGAAUAAUAAGUACCAUUUAUAGUGCAAACCUAAAGGCUAAAGCUAUGAUUUCUUUAAUUUUUUGAAAUCCUGAAAAAAGUGAAUUAUCAUACUGAACAUAUAUAAGUUCAAUUGUCUGAUAGGAAUUUGCUGCCAGCAGAUAAAGGUAGCGAUCUUUGAAUUGAAACGGCCGGCAUAAAUGCAAAUAUGAUGAUUUAGCAGCUAAUAAGAAUAUAGAGAAACUAUGGUUCGUGCAUGCAGCAACAAAUGAGUUCAAAAACCAAAGCAUGUCUCGACUUUAAUUUUGGUGCUGGCUUUUGCUGGGUCUGUUUUAUCAUUGCUGGGUAUAACCAUUACAAAACAAGGAUGGGUUUGGAAAAUACGUAUAAUCUUUUACGCCUUAGGUGUAUUUAGAUAUUUGUGGGUAUUUAGAAGAACGAAAAGAGAUCGAUGCUGUAGAGCAAGACUAGUUGUAUAACAUUAAGAAAACAUUACUAAGAAAAAAAGGAUUACACAUAGUAAACAAAAGCACGUACGUAACAUAAAUAGAUAUAGAGCAGUGGAUACCAUAGAUCUACUACAGUCUAUUCCCAGGACUCUAACCCAAAGAGACUUCCGUUAAUUCCUUCCCCUACAUCAUUGGAGAUACACUAUUAAUUAACCAUGCCCGCAAUUUGGACAACAGCAUCGGCAGCUGCAACAACAGGUGAAAGAAGAGGUAUGAGCGUUCCGACUCCGAGCACUGGAAGAAUAACAGCAGCUACUGAUGCAGCAGCUGAAAUCCAACGGAAAACCGAAACAAAAGCCCGAAACCACGACAUUGUGACUCAAGGACGACUUCAACUUUACACUCUAGAUUAGUAGACUGAUAGUGAGUCUGAAACUGUAGGAAAGGCUGUUGAAUGUAGGAGGUUUGCGCACUAUAUUUAUAGCAGGUAAUUUAGAUGGGAACCUGUGCAGCUGAGCUCUAUCGGUCUCUUCGUUUAGUGUACCUCUAAUGAACACAUUUAAUUACUUCGAUUCUUUAAAGAUUAACGGCAUGCGCGCGCAUGCGUCUUCAUGCACUGUGUUUUGGAAAUAUGAGACUUUCAUGACAUAAUUACUGCUUCUAGUUUAUUGUGAACGUCAUAAUAUUAUAUUUGUUGCCUUACCCACAGUUUUAUUUCCCAAUUUCCUCUCUUGUUUUUCCAAUUCGCCGGUGAAGAUCAAUUUGGAUUAUUUUCAGAUUUAACAAGAUUGAUUGAUAUCCCUGACGAUGUUUCUAGUUUUCUUUUCCUUUCUCUUACUGGGUUUGUUAUUACUAGCUGAUUUUUAUCGCUGAAAUAGGUUAAUCUCUACACCUCUGCAAGACUGCAACAAACCCAGCAGCACCCUGAUAAGAAUUUCUCUAUUGGGUCUCCUUCUACACCCUGAUGACAACUUUCAACAUUUAAUUUGGUUUUGAUUGAUUUCAAUCCAAAACUUGCUGCGGAUUUCAAUCCCAAUUUUUGUUCGCCUCUUUUGGUCUCAUCAGAGGACGGAGGAGGAAGUUGAUUUCGGUGGGAGAAAAUUUUUUUUCGAUGAAGAAGCCAGUUCUGGGAUUGAUUCACGAGAAAUAAAGAGAAAAUAAAGAAAAAUACUUUUUCAAAAUUAAAAAUAAGAUUAGAGUUAACAGAGUUAUUGUGGUGUUAGGCUAGCGAUGAGAUGUCAAAUUUUAGUUGGUGGCACAGGGUUUUUGGGCAGAGGUGAUGUGCUUCCCCUUAAGAACUAAUUGGAAUAAAUCUUAGCAUCUUACGAGUAGUUAAGACUCAAGAGGCCAACAAAAGGCCAUUUUGCAUUUCUUCUGGGGCUUCUUCUGAAUUUACACCCUGCUCAUAUCCUAUAGAAUGUUCAUUUUGUAACAUUUCACAGUUGUUCACAUCAUCAUAAGUAGUAGUAGUAGUAGUAGUAGUAGUAGUUUAACCUGCUUCAAAUGAUGUUAAUAUAUUAUGCUUCAUUGAUUAAUGAUGUAAUCCAACUUCUAAGAGGUGAUUCUGCAUGCUGAGGUCCUCACUAGACUCGACAGCAAAAUUUGACAGCAAACCUGCAAAAUCAACCAAACCCCAUCAAAAUGUAGUCACUACGCAGAUAGGAAGUUACAUAAAUGUAAGAAUCACUGUGCCAUUACAGAAUCAAACAACCGGGAAACCCUUACCCCCCCCCCCCCCCCCCUUUUCCUAGUCUAGAAAAGCUCAGGUUUAUCUUCCUUUUGUCUGUACAUAAGUUGUGGCUCGUCUUAAAGAUAUUGAAAUGAUCCUCUCAGUAAUGGAGGUAAUCUAGAGCAUGACUCAUAUAUGAAGACCUUAAGGUUACAAUGUCAGGCCAGUUUAUCAUACUAUACCACAGUAAUUGAAAUGCCAACUCCAUGUCUCCCAAAGGAUACAAGGUUUAACACGCAUUGUGCAAUAAAAGAAGAAUAAUGACACCAGGAAAACCCAGCGCACAACUGCACAACUGAAGUUCCAACAUACCAUUCUAUAUUAGUCUAAUAUCUAGGAGAGCUAACUCACUCAAACUUCCUUUCAAAGAGCAGGACCUCUGAUACCAAAUUGUAUUACUAGUUUACCUUAUACGAGUUCUUCCUAAAUUAUCAAGCUAAGUGGCCCGGAGAAAAGUUUUAUCCAUUUUUGAGAUAUUAAUAUACCCAUAUGAUCAAAACCUUAAGUGUGAGUACUGAAAACCCAAGGCCAUCGCCAUGUCUCCAAUAGUAUCCAGCUUUAUCAUACAUCAGAUCUUGCACUGUUCAUUGUUAGAAUGAAUAUCUUUUUCAUGUCUGAAAUUAUAGAAGAAUCAUCUCACCAGUAAAACCUAGCAAGCACAGUUGAAGUUCGUUUAUACCAUUCUAUAUUAAUCUAAUAUCCAGUAGAACUAACAAAGAAACUCAAAUGUCACAAAGAACAGUAUAUGUGCUCUAGGAAGUUGCAUUCACUAGUUUACCUAAUUCGAGUUCUUCCUAAAUGACUAAGUCAAGUGUCGCAGGAAAAAAGUUUUAUUCUUAAAUAAAACCGGUAAUUACAACACCCACAUUGAUUGUAGUUAUGGCUGGAGUUCAGAAAUUUAGUGUAUUCCUGCUCAAGCGGCAGAUGGGCAAUGCAAGUUGAAUGUGAUAUGUUCACUGCUCUGUGCAUUUCAGCUUAUGUUAUUGUUGCCCAGCAUAAAGAUCUCACCUAAUUCAAACCUUACAAGCAGAUACCUCAUCUAAUUUCUCCAACAAAAGAUUUGAAUGCCAUAAUAUCAACUAAAGAACAAUGCAGCUCCGGAUCUACUUCAAGCAUACUUAUAUUCAGCUAACACUACAACUACUCGAUGCAAGAAUAGAAAUGCCGAAAAAUACAACCAUAUUAUCAAUGUAGUGUACCUGAAGCUUGAAGCUCAUCUCAAGACAGGCUUUUGCAGAAGAGCAGUCAAGUAAACCUCCCCAUUCUUCUCAUUCUUACUCGCCGUCGCCCACUUCACUCUCCGGUACCCCAACUUCCCAAUCAACGGCCCGAAAACCUUCUCAAGAUCCACCCCCUUGCUAAAGAAAUGAUCCAACCACAAGUACCCUCCUACCCUCAACACCCUAUCCGCAUCGUACAACAAAAACUCCAACGCCGUCACCGGAAUCCACCUGUUCACCGCGUGCCCGCACCGCACCAGAUCCAACACCCCGUCAAACACGGGGAACCGCUGCUGCAGCGGCACGUGCAGCGGCACCAGCCCCCUCAGCGCCACCGCCUCGUUAUUCGGACUGCCGAAAUUCAUGGUGGUGGUGACAACUGUCACAUUGUAGAGCUUCAUCCUGGCGGCGAAGGUCCCGGUGCCGCCGCCGACGUCCAGCCCGAGGCGGAGGACGGCGCCGGCGGCCUUGGCGAUCUGGAAGAACUGCGGGAUGGGGAGGUCCAGCUCGGACUUGUAGGUCAUGAAGUUGGAGAGCUCGUGGCUGAAGUCGAAGCCGGAGCUGAGGCCACGGCGGUUGAGGCAGCUGAAGCUUUUGCAGGCGUACUUGUCCCAUAUCACAUUCUGAUCCGGGAGAGAGGGAGGGAAAGCGUCGUGGGAGAGCGAUGACGUGGGCUUCUGCGGCGUUCUGGAGAAGCAUCUCCGGCGGGGGAGGGGGUGGCAGCCGCGGAGGAUGAGGCUCUCGGCGACGUCGUCGGCGUCGGCGGGGCAGAGGGAGAAGGGAGUGUAGGUCAUGUACUUGUUGAGGAGGUCGGGGUGGUUGUGGCAGGAGGAGGCGAUCGGGGAGAGGCGGGAGUAGAGGAGGAGGUCGGCGGAGGAGGCGGCGGCGGCGCGUGGGGGAGGAGGGUGGUGGCGCGUGAGGUGGUUGAUGGUGGCGCGUAUGGUUUGGAGCUGGCGGAGGAGGUGGUCGGGGACGGCGGUGUUGGGAGGGGUGGGGGAUUGGAUGGUGGAGGAGAGGUGGUAGAGGGAGAGGAUGUUGGUGGCGACCAUGGCCAUAAGCAGAAGCAAGUUAAGACCCAUUGUGAAACCCAUCUUUGGAAAAAUUGGGUUUCAGAUUUGGAAAGAUUUGAGCUUUUUUCUUGAAGUCAGUGAGCGUUUGACUUCAUAGUGAAGUAAGCAGCUUUAUUAUUACGGUGGAAGCAGUUGCAGAGCCCAGUUGGGGUUAGAUUUGUAAUUAGGAGGAAGUUUGGGGGUGGAAACUGGGAAGAGAGAGUUGCAUCACUUGCAUGGAUUUGGAUUUUGAUUUGGUUUCGUUUGUCAUUUCGUGGGGUUAGUUGGGUCAAAAGUGUGAAAAUAAUUAGAGUGGGAUGGACUGGAGGCACGUGACUUGUUGGACCCACUUGAACCUUUUUACCUUUUUUUUUUAUUAAAUGGGAUUAUUUUUUUUCAUGCAGAAUCUAUUCCAUGAUUUUAUAUUCCUGCCUUUCUGAUUCCAUGAUUAAGAGAAGCAUUUACUGUUUUCCGGGGACGGCUGUUCUUGAGUCCGACGAUGUGUUUAACUCCGGAACUAGAAAGAUGUGUUUUAAUCCGAGUCCUGUAUCUUGUAGCGAAUCCUGGUAACCACAUAAAGCAUUAGAGUGAUUGGUUUAUUUAUGAAUAUAUGUUACAUGGAGUUUAAUUGUCUUAAUUCAUACAGAUCAAUGAAGUCACACUAAACACGUCUUUAGAUUUUCUUACCAAAAUUUUAAAAUAAAAAGACAAGCUUUUAUGAAGCAAAGAACACCAAAGUUAUGAGUGAAGGAUAAUGAAGAGAACAAAAUCACAUAGAAGUGCAAACUAAGAGUUGAUCUUAAGUUUGGCUUUCAUAUAUUAUCAUCAAAUCAAGUGAGCGUACACUAUUGCUUUACGCGAUACUGUUUUUCAGUGAGCUAUGAUAUGUUAGUAAGUUAUAAAUCCAACAUAUCAUAAGUUGGAAUAUUCUCACUCAUACAUUUAAGUUGAGUGAGUGGUUAAGAGUUUUUUGAAGUGGUAAAAAUUAGCUUCUACCCUUUAAUUACAUAAGUGAUAUAUAUAUAGUUCCAUUCAAGACUAGGACACCGUUUUGAAAAUUAAAAUAUGGUGUUCUUCAUUUCGCUCAUUUUUAGGUCAUAUUUUCACAUCUUCACCGUUCAAUGUCUAGAACAUAGUGUGUAGAUCAUUCCUGUAAAAUUUCAUCCAAUCUAGAGAUCAUUUAGGUACCGAAUUAGAUUAAAUGAAUCAACUGAACAAAAUAUGUCCAAAAUCUCCAAAUUGGAUUACCCUAAACGUUUAUUAAGACUCUGGAAACAAAACUGGAUUGUGUUCUACUACUACGUGUAUAGCAAUGGGCCGAUAUAGGGACGAUACAACCUAAAUGGAACGAAUCCAAUGAACUGGGCUUUUUCGUUCUUGUUUUUCUAUACCAAAGCUUAUAUACACUUUCUGAGUGCUGCGUGCAACAGUACAAUCUGUAUAUAAAGAUCUCAGACUCCGCGUCCGACAAACGCAAACGCAAACACAAACACAAACUCAAACUCAAACUCAGCCGGACUUAGAUCUAUCUCUACUCACAACUUGAAUCAAUGGUAAAUUCUCUCCCUCACUUUCAGUUUUCCUUUUACUUCCCACUAGAUAAUUUUGCCAUACUUUGAAUUAGGGCUAUGAAUGUUUUUAACUUUUCAUAUUCAGAUUUCCACUAAUUAUAUAAAUUAUAGCUGGGUUUUAAUCAAUCUGUACUCUUUUAUGGUCUUCAAUAUGGAUUGGGAGCUGAAAUUGAGUAGGCUGAUAGUACCCAGAAGCUUUGCGGUCUUUUAUAUAGUUGUAGUUAUCUGGGUUAGCUAUGUUAUAUUGUUAUUGGGUUUUCUACUACCAGCCACAGAAAGUAAUCAACUUUGAGGAAUUACAAUCACUAGAGUUUGUGAAACAUGGUCUGAAAGAGUUAGGUAGUUAGUUCUAUACUUCUAUCCUCCAGUUCAGGCUCAUAAGUAAUGGGUUUGGAAUUGUGCAGGAGUUGGCUCAUGUAAUGAUAAGUGAAGUUAUGAACCUUUUGCAGUCUUGUAAUGCAAUUACGGUGCUUUAGAAAGCACACAGAACUGUAUGGUUUAGUUGUCUGGUUUGUCAAGCAAUGAACCAGUUCAUGUUCUCAACCAUGCCUGGCUAGAUAUCAAAGUUAACUUUUUCAAAUUGAUCGGAUAACCAGAAGCACUGCCUUCUUUCCCUUGUUUUUCUUGUAAGUCUAUACAUGUAAAUGAAUGGAAGUCAAAGACUAUAUGUUAUUUAUAGUUGGCAUAUUAUUUCAAUUAUGUGUUUUUUUUUAGUAUGAUUGGGUUUGUUAGCUAUUUGGUUUCCCUGUCAUUGGAUGUUCGUUCUUUAACUUUAUGAAUUCCGUUAUUAGGCUGAUCCCGAACUCGAAGCAAUCAGACAGAGGAGAAUGCAGGAGCUUAUGGCUCAACAAGGCGCUGUAAGUACAACUUAGUUUAUCUGAACAUCUGUGCUACAAAAAGAGGUUGUCUUCUUGGCGCUUUUGUGCUGACCUCACUACUUUAUAUUGAUAAGCAGGGAGGAGCCCGAGGGCAGCAAAAUACUGAACAGCAGAAGGCAAAUGAUGAUGCCAAGAGGUUGGGUUUUAAAUUAACUUUGGGUGUUACUUCUUUUUCUUUUGUUCUGAUAAUGUUCUUAAUAAUCUCAUAACAUAAGGCAAAUAAAUGUAGGGAGGCAGAAGAACGGAGACAGAUGAUGCUUAGUCAGAUUUUGUCAUCUGAAGCUCGUGAAAGACGUAAGUUGAUAUCUGAAAUUGGCAGUUGAUUUUCUAAUUAGUUUUACCCUGUAUUUUCCUUUAUUAGUCAUCUAUUAAGGACAAAACUAUUUCUGAUUUAAUAUGUUUGGAACUUUGGAUCACUGUUAUUGACUAGUAAAUAUAAUGUAGAUGUCUUGGAAGGAUAUUUAGUUUUUUCAAAACUAAGAAUGACGGAGAAGAUGCUAUCUUGAUAAGUUAAUCUGUGGCAACGAUCUGUUGCAGUUCAGUCAAAUGCAUAAUAAGUGCAAUUCAUAACUUGGCUAGGGUACUUAUACAUUAUCUUAUACGUAAUGCUAUGCAUUUGUAGUUGCUCGAAUUGCUUUGGUGAAACCUGAGAAGGCAAGAGGUGUUGAAGAUGUCAUAUUGAGAGCUGCUCAAAUGGGCCAAAUAGCUGAGAAGGUAUGGUUUAUGGUUCUCACAUCCUCAUCUGUCUUAUGGUGGCCCAUAGUUUUCUAUUUUUCUCGCACCAAAGCUUUCAUAAGAGCUCAUCUAUAGAAGAAACAAAGUGCUUAGAAUUCAAUUGUCAGGUCUCCGAAGAAAGGCUUAUUUCAUUGUUGGAACAGAUCAACAACCAAACAACCAAGCAGACCAAAGUCACUGUAAGUUUCAAUUCAUGACGACCUUCAUUUGUUUCCAUUUCCAUGAUAAGCGAUUCUGAUUUGGCCUUGUGUUGCUUUCCGUUUUCCAGAUUCAGAGGCGUAGGAGUGUUCUCGAAGAUGAUGAUUGAUUUGAAUUUGUGCGUUACAGUUGAAGACUUUGGCUGUAUAUUGAAACAUAAUGCACUUUGAAACAUAAUGCACUUGUUAUUGGGUUGUGAAAUAUUUUACUGUUCUUUCUUCAAUCUUGAUAUUCGUGAUAUGCUCUAAUACAAUAUUGUAUGGGAAGAAAUUUUUCACCAAUUAUUGUUUGAAGCCUUGUGAAUUUAAUUGAAAACUGGUCACUUGGAAUGGAAUAACAUUCUAAACUGAUUACUACCGACUCUCAACGCUUGAUUCUAGAUUUCAUUUUAUAUCAAAAGGUUUACCCUUAGUUGUGUUUUUGUGGCUUAGAUUUCAUUUUAUUAGAUUUCAGUCUAACAGGGAUACAUAACCCCUGAUAUUUGGUGCACAUUCAUGUCUGCGUCUGGUUGAUUGACUCUUAUUUUUUCGUGUUUGGUGUGAGACCAAAAGUCCAAAACUUCCGACAUAUGAUUCAUUAAACCAUGUUUCCUAAGAAAUAUAUAUCAGAGGAGGUAGUUUUUAUAAAAAUACAACAAUGAUGGAGAAAAAUUGAGAGAAGUUUAACUGAAGUUGAAGACAUCAAAAGGGUUAGCAACCUAAAUACUAAAAACAAAUGAGAGAAUAUACGUCAGCCUUAAGCACCAUUUGUAAGAAAGAAUAACCGUUAGAUGACACGAUCAGAAACUGAAGGCAACCAUUUGAUUGGAUAGGACAUGACACACGAGAUUUUUAUGAGGGAAAUCUGUAAAUUAUUUCACGAGUAAAACAAAUACAGUGUAAAAGAAACUAGGUAUUACAAGACUUUGAGAGAAAUCUUGAGUGAAGAGUUGGAAUCAAAAUCUUGUGUAAAGAUUUUGAAAUUCUGAGUAGAGAUUUUGAAUCGAAGAUUUGAGUAAAUACUGGAAUUUGAUAUGAGCACAAAGUGCUAUGUUUAUAAUGUAUUUCCUACCCUAUUUAGUUAUAAUAUUCUCAUAAUGUUAUUUCUAACAUGUUUUGUGAUUGUAGAGGCAAUGAAUCGAGAAAAAAAGGCUAAAUCGCGGAAAUAAGAGAAAAAUACAGAAAAAGGCAAAUAAGCCCUUCUUGCAGUCCAAGGAAGGAAGGAGAAGUAAAUUUGGAUUCUAAUUCCAAAGAAUGAAGGAGAAGUAAGUUUGGAUAAAAGAAAAGAGAAAAGUCAAACAUGUGCACCUAGUCCCACAUUAUUUUGGAAGAAGAAAUAAAUUUGGAUUUGUCACACCCCGGUCCCGACGUCGACGGGUUUUAAGCACUAGACGUCGAUCCUGAGGCGUGAACGAGUGUUACAAAGCGAAAUGUAAACAAAAGUACUAUCUUCUAAACUCGUCGUCUACCCUUUUCCCGGCUUGGUACAACCUAAGUACUUUUUCUGCAAAAAAUAUUAGAAAUGGAUGGGUGAGCAAAACCACGCGCUCAGUGAGUAGACCAAUGUAAUAUGCCCGCAAAGCCAUGUCAUUUUACACACGCUACAAAAUACGUAUAUCGUAUACACAUCACUUCACACAAUUCAUCACAUCGCACAAUCCCUUCUUAUUGGAUAUCCUUCAAUUUAGUGAUCCCCAUGGGAACCUAAUGACCUUCAAGUCUUAUACCUCCGUGUGUCACAUCCUUACUUCGGCAUAACCAAUCAAGAAGUUCACAUGUUCCAUGACUAAUCAAACAAUGGAUCCAACACAUAAUUAUAUAUAAACACUGCAUAUUUUGCAAAUAGACAUGGUUCACUUGAAAUAGAGAGAUAUUUCGUAAAUAGAUCAAAAUCAUGUUUUUCGACUAUUGUGAUAACAAAUAAGAAUAUUUUAAAUAUAUUACACAAAUCCACUCACCUCGUCAACACGAAUCCCUACCAAGAACAUCGAUUGUAAACCGAGCCUCCUAAAAUGAGUCAUCUAGAAAUCACCGUUGGAUCUAGCUCAAAAUUCUAGGAUAGAAAGAGGACAUCGAUACGUACCCGUAGCAUCUCGCGAAUUCAGAAUCGGAGUUAUGGAUCAAAAAUUAUAAUCCGCCAAAGUUUAGUCGCAAAUCUAGAGAGAGAAACUAAUUAAAGANNNNNNNNNNNNNNNNNNNNNNNNNNNNNNNNNNNNNNNNNNNNNNNNNNNNNNNNNNNNNNNNNGAGAGAGAGAGAGAGCGUCAGAAUUGAGACUUUUUUUUUUAGAGAAUUAUUUAUUAAGACUUGAGAGAGAAAAUUGGGGAAAAAUUAAGAGAUAUAGAGAGAGCGUACGUAUGUAUUCUGUCUUUCUUUUUGUUAUUUUAUACGCGUCACACGUAUUUUUAACGUGACGCACUUCCAGCUAUAUUAUUUGCAUUUUCUAUUAUGCCCCUACUUAUUAGUAUCUUUAUAAAACAAAACAAAAAAUAUUAAUAAAGGGUAAAACUGGUAUUAUCUGAAAACUGAAAAUAACUAUCCUCAUUUCCUAUUUCAUUUUUUUCUACCAUAUGCUCUCAAAUCUAUCGCUCUGCCAUAAGUUCUUAAAUCAAUCUUUUUGCCUGAAAAUCAAAUUUAAAAAGAUUCUCAUAAACCCUAAAUCAUGUACUUAUAUAAUUGCACCCCCGAAAAAGGUUCAAAUUUAGACCUAGUCUUGAAUCUCUGUAGCCUAACUCUUUCUUUUGUCUUUGUUAAUCGACAUCAUCAUGAUUUCGAGUUCGAAAUCGAAGCCUCAAUUAAGUAACGAGGCAUUCAAUGUAAACAUUAUUAGGCUAUUAAGUAUAACAUAUCAUCUUGCUUUAAAGGAUUCCAAUCGGAAGUGGUAGAGAACAGUUUCAUUCAGCUUGUUUUCACUUCUGCUUAUUUCAUUAUGUGUUUACACACGUUACCUUCAGUUUUUAGUCAAGUACCAAAAACCAAGAGCUUUUCCUUUCCUUAGAGGAAUCAAAAGCAACCACAAAAUUAAAUAACAAUGAUAUAAAGAGCUCAUAGCAUAUGAUCCAGCUGAUAAACCAGUUGAGAUCUACAACAUGAAUUAAGAGAGCAAAAUCGUGUGACCGUAUCAACAUCGAAACAACUUAAAGUCCACUGCAGUGGCACAGAAAUCAUUUGAGAAGGGUUCUGGUUAAAUGUUCUCUUGCAACAGCCCAUGCUUGAGUUAUAGUCUGCAAAGUUUGAAAAUUAGGAAAGCAGGAUUAGAUUAGUUUCUACUUUCUACCGCAUUUUAAUUGAAAACACUUUUGAGUAUCUGAAAUCCCUAUUAGCAGUACCUAGAAGCCCCUUAAUCUAUUUGGUUUCAACUAAGCAAACGGAAAGUUUUGCAUUACCUGCUCAGCCAAUGGUGCAUCAGCAUCCAUGGUAUGAGUUGCCACCUUUCCUGCGAUAAUAGUUGGAUCUGUUUCAAGUAUCAUCCUGCAAUAUAAGUCAAGCACAUGAGAUCGAUGUAUAAUCAUAUACUCGAUGACAGAACUAAGAUCAAGAAUCUUAUUGCACACCCUCCAUCAACAAUCUCAUCAAAGCACAGAAGUAUGAGAUCUAGGUUCUCCAGUGCCUCCCUUUUAUCAACAUUGUUCCUGCAAGUAGGACAAGCAUGAAUAUAUAGCACAAAAGGUCCAAGAUAAAUAAUGUUGAAAGGUAAAAGGAGUUCAAGGAAAAUGUUAUGACGUCCAAGUCUACCUCAAGAGAAGGGCAACUGCAUCAAAGAAUCCCUGAAGGACAGUGGCUAAAAUGAGUUCGUUUUCAUCGUCACUUCCAGUCACAAAGAAGUGAAGGUCCUGCAUAAACCUAUAUACAACAACGUUGCUUUCGAACAUCAUUAUCUCCGCUGCAUAAGAUAUACAAUAGCAAAUUGUAAAUUAAGGUACUACAAAUGUGGUGAUAUAACAUGACUUCCUGUAGCAUAUCGACAACAUGACUUGAAUGAAAUCAUUGUUUUCAUACAUUCAAUCCUUGCAUUUGUCUUAAGAGUCUUAGUGAACACAGAUUUUUCAAAAACUAGCUUUGCACCAUUUGUUGGCCAAUCAUCCGAGUAAUACUUGACCGCCACACGCUUCCCUUCAGAGUCCAUAAGAAGAAUGUUCUUCACAGAUGGGCGUGAAUCCUGGAAAAUAUAUAAAGGUGGAUCAGAACAGCAUGCAUAAAGAUCACUCAAUACAAAUUCAUACGCAGUUAGCCUAUAGCUAAUGAAUUCAUACUUUCAUCCAUAAAAAUCAUAUUGUGCCAAAAGUCUGUCUAAUCUAACUAAGGUUCUAAUAAUAGAUCCUGACUAUAUCCUUGGAUCUUAAAAUCUGAUUGAACAUCAGUUACAAUUGGCCAAAUCAACAUAAUUUGUUAAUAACUUAAUACACAUCAGUUGGUGACUUCAGCCUUCAGGUAUCAAUUUUCAAGCGUAAAAAAGAUCUAUAAUUCAAACUUGAUCGUUUUGCUCGUAAUCAGAGGAACUUCAAAG
rnacentral:lncRNA from 1 species